UACGUAGGGUGCAAGCGUUGUCCGGAAUUAUUGGGCGUAAAGAGCUCGUAGGCGGUUUGUCGCGUCUGCCGUGAAAGUCCGGGGCUCAACCCCGGAUCUGCGGUGGGUACGGGCAGACUAGAGUGAUGUAGGGGAGACUGGAAUUCCUGGUGUAGCGGUGAAAUGCGCAGAUAUCAGGAGGAACACCGAUGGCGAAGGCGAUCACCUGGGGUUGUUCUGACGCUGAGGAGCGAAAGCUAGGGGAGCAAACGGG
rnacentral:rRNA from 1 species